rnacentral:rRNA from 1 species
CCCUUAGACGUUCUGGGCCGCACGCGCGCUACACUGACCGGUGCAACAAGCAUCCGUCCUUGGCCGACAGGCCCGGGCAAUCUUUGAACGCCGGUCGUGAUGGGGAUAGACUUUUGCAAUUUUUGGUCUUCAACGAGGAAUUCCUAGUAAACGCAAGUCAUCAACUUGCAUUGAUUACGUCCCUGCCCUUUGUACACACCGCCCGUCGCACCUACCGAUUGAAUGGUCCGGUGAGGCCUCCGGAUUGGCGCGCACCUCGGUGCCGCCGAGAAGUUGGCUAAACCUUACCAUUUAGAGGAAGGUGAAGUCGUAACA